GGCUCUGUAGCUCAGCUUGGUUAGAGCACUGGACUCUUAAUCCAGGUGUCGAGGGUUCAAAUCCCUUCAGGGCCA
rfam:Candidatus Pacearchaeota archaeon CG1_02_30_18 cg1_0.2_scaffold_256_c, whole genome shotgun sequence.